rnacentral:lncRNA from 1 species
UGGUCCAUGAUACAUCAUGUAUAUACCAUCUUAUGUAUGUAUGCAAGCAAGCAUGCUUAUCCUGAUACAUAUAUGAAUUAAUCUGCCAUGCUCCUGACCCCAAGCAUCCCUAGUAGUAGCCUCCCUAGGAGUAUGGGCUCCUCCAGAACAAUUGGUGGCGCAAUUACGCCUUAAUUAUAUUUGGUAUGUCACCGAAAAGAAGAAGAAAGAAAUAUAAGGCAUGAAGGAUUAGGAUGUAAACAAAUACCCUCUGUUUGAAGUUGUGUUAGACGCUUGUGUUGUAGCUAUGAUAUCUCGGCUGUUACAGUUGCUGAAAGAGGAGGAUGAUUUGUUUGCACGAUUACAGAGCUUGCGAGCCAGGCGUCGAAGGCGGCGACAGUUUAUGCGCAGAAUAAAUCCCCCCACACGAAAAGAGGGGAGUUUCUCCCCUCUGGUUGAAGCCCGGGAAAGGGAUUUCGAUAUCUCUGGAGCGGAUGCCGUCGAUGUGCCUGUGGUGAGUGUCAUUACCAGCAAAAAACCUCAAGUCGUUUUGCUUACGAAGACCAUGGGAUCUGAUUAUACCCCCUCUCUUCGGUCUUAUAUAUCAUCUGCAUCCACACCAUCAAUGUUGUCCACUGAAUGUGUCUCCCCAGCUUUGAAUGCUGCACAAACAGUGGACUCAAGUCACAUACUGCCUGACUCAAGUUGGCCCACAAGACGUGUGGGCCAACUUGAGAUUGUGAAGAGACGUGUAAAUACUGAGGAUGGAAUACUGAAAAAACUGGAGAGAAUUGACCUGGAGAAGGAAGUGAUGGAAAUUAAUGAGGACACUGCAUUUUGUGCGUUUGUGGCCCACAUGCUGUCUAAACUCUCUGAAGAACCAAGACGAGCUGCUCAGUUGCGAAUCUUGCAAAUCCUACAUGAUGCCAGGAAGAAUGACUUGGGAUCUUCCUGAGGAGUAGAGGGAAUGAUGAUGAUUAAUAGGACAGUGAAGUUAUGUAAGGGUUCUGUUCUGUUCUGUUAAAUUGUUCAGAAAAAUGUUGACAUGGUUGAACGGUGAUAUUUGUUUCACAUUGACUCCAGCAGUCAAGAAUAAGUUACUGACCAAUAUUGUAGCAACUCAAUAUUAAAGUUUGGGUUUAAGCAACCUCUUUUGGUAUGGAAAAUACUUUGUCAUAAAGCCAAUGGAGGGGGGUGUUGAGCACACAUUAGAUUAAAUGAGUAAUCCACUAAUAAAGAGUCACCAAAUACUCA